rnacentral:SRP_RNA from 1 species
GCCGGGCGUGGUGGCGCGUGCCUGUAGUCCCAGCGACUCGGGAGGCUGAGGUGGGAGGAUCGCUUGAGCCCAGGAGUUCUGGGCUGCAGUGCGCUAUGCCGAUCGGGUGUCCGCACUAAGUUCGGCAUCAAUAUGGUGACCUCCCGGGAGCGGGGGACCACCAGGUUGCCUAAGGAGGGGUGAACAGGCCCAGGUCGGAAACGGAGCAGGUCAAAACUCCCGUGCUGAUCAGUAGUGGGAUCGCGCCUGUGAAUAGCCACUGCACUCCAGCCUGGGCAACGUAGCGAGACCCUGUNNNN